AUUGAACGCUGGCGGCAGGCCUAACACAUGCAAGUCGAACGGUAGCACAGAGGAGCUUGCUCCUUGGGUGACGAGUGGCGGACGGGUGAGUAAUGUCUGGGAAACUGCCCGAUGGAGGGGGAUAACUACUGGAAACGGUAGCUAAUACCGCAUAACGUCGCAAGACCAAAGAGGGGGACCUUCGGGCCUCUUGCCAUCGGAUGUGCCCAGAUGGGAUUAGCUAGUAGGUGGGGUAACGGCUCACCUAGGCGACGAUCCCUAGCUGGUCUGAGAGGAUGACCAGCCACACUGGAACUGAGACACGGUCCAGACUCCUACGGGAGGCAGCAGUGGGGAAUAUUGCACAAUGGGCGCAAGCCUGAUGCAGCCAUGCCGCGUGUAUGAAGAAGGCCUUCGGGUUGUAAAGUACUUUCAGCGGGGAGGAAGGGAGUAAAGUUAAUACCUUUGCUCAUUGACGUUACCCGCAGAAGAAGCACCGGCUAACUCCGUGCCAGCCGCCGCGGUAAAAGGG
rnacentral:rRNA from 1 species